rnacentral:rRNA from 1 species
CCCUUAGAUGUUCUGGGCCGCACGCGCGCUACACUGAUGCAUUCAACGAGCCUAUCCUUGACCGACAGGUCCGGGUAAUCUUUGAAUCUGCAUCGUGACGGGGAUAGAUUAUUGCAAUUAUUAAUCUUCAACGAGGAAUGCCUAGUAGGCGCAAGUCAUCAGCUUGCGUCGAUUACGUCCCUGCCCUUUGUACACACCGCCCGUCGCUACUACCGAUUGAAUGGUUUAGUGAGAUCUCUGGAUUGACGCUGGCUAGGGGGCGACCCUUGGCCAGGCUGUCGAGAAACUGCUCAAACUUGAUCAUUUAGAGGAAGUAAAAGUCGUAACA